UAAAACAAACCAUAAUUUUUAAAAUGGCAUUUUAUUUACAGUGCAAUCAUUUGUAAAGAGAUCAAUGGAAUUAAUGCUUCUUCUAACAUCAGCCAAAUAUCUUCUGGACACUGUUCAUUUGAGACUACUUAUCCAAAAUAUGAUUUCACACCUUAUAUAUUCCAAGUGAUAGUCUUCCAUAUGCAAUGGUCAUUAACAGAAGUGACAAUAUAAAUACUGAACUCUACAAUGUUUCAGUCAAGGCUUUCACAUUUUGUGGCGGCGCAGUGGUUAGAAUGCAGUAUUGCAGGCUAAUUCUGCUGACUGUCAGGUUCGAUCCUCACUGGCUCAAGGUUGACUCAGCCUUCAAUCCUUCCAAGGAAUGGCGGGCAAUUUGGCCAACUCUAUUACCAAUGCUUGUGGAUUUCUGCCAUAUCAGUGCAUUAGGUCCUCUGAGGAUCAGAACUUGCAAAGGAAAACCCAGUGACUACAUCAGCAUCUCUUUGCUACUAUGAAGAAGUCAGUAAUCUAUUUUCCAGUGUGCCAUCCUUGGAUCAUUGAGUGCAGCUUGUUAGUUGUGACCGAGGGAUGUUCCAAAUACAAUAGAUUUCUUAGUUUCAUUUAAAACAGUUCCUGCUUGGGACUUUAACAUUCCUCAUGCUAAAUAAAUAAAUAUGCAAAUAAAUAUAGGCUAAUUUCAGUAGAAGUUGAAAGAUGAUCUAAAAUACACAGACUAUAUAUGGACUGGAAAGUACUGAAUCAAGAGGAGUCUGGUAGCAUAUUUAUUGUAUUGUGAAGCAUAAGCUUCAUGCGCUACAGUUCUCUUCUUCAGUCACAGUAGUAGAAUUACUAGUUUUGUAGGAUUUAAACUGGGAUGAGUUAGGGAAGGGAAAGGAGAGGGAAGACAGGAUGGUUAUGUAGAUGCAAGUUACAGGUGAGACCAAGUGUAGGUGCUGCAUUGAUUAAUAAUUGUAAAAGGUAAAAACCCAUUGUUUGUUGAGGCUUUUGAAAUAGCCUGCAAAUGUUUAACCUUAGCUUAGCACCCUCUCAUUUGAUUGUGCUGUUAAAGUUUUCCAAACUAGCUGCUUUGACAUUUGUGAUACAGCAGUGUUCAAAGAAGCUGAUUUAAUAAUUUUAUUUUGUCCUUCUAAGUCCUGAUGUUGAACUUGUGCUAUUCAUUCUUCUAUACAAAGUUUGGCCUGUCCAGAGGGGCAUUGUUGACAGUUGAUGGCAUAAAUCCUAGUCUUCUUUCUGUGAUAAUUUUUUCCCGGACCAGAGUCCAGCUGAAAGAAAAAGAAUGGAGAGAAAUCUCAACUCCUCCCUUUCCUUUACAAAAAAUAAAAUACCUCUGUAUAUAAAAAUGUCAGGGUAAUAAUUUAAGAGCUGACCAGCUGCUACAAUGAUGAAACGAUGCACUGAUGUAAUGAUGGGAAUGAGUCAGCAAGGUUUUUGGCUGUUAUCCCUUUAAAAGCCUGUAUAAUAAGAGGCCUUCUUUUUAUUAGGACGUCUCUCUCUCGCCGUAUGUUCUUCCCUGCUGUAAUUUACUGAUUGUUUGACUUCUGCCUAUAGUACAUGUAUGUAUAGUAUAUACUAUUUUGUAGAUAAAGCCACUAUUUAUUACAAACCUGUAUUUGCUGUUAUUGCUCCUGGGUUGUCUCACAUAGUAAAGCUGUGCGCACUCUGACAAAAAAUCUAGGAACCAUUGUCAUGCAUACAUUGGCCUUAAAUUCCAUUGAG